rnacentral:lncRNA from 1 species
GGGGUGGGGAGUUUCGGGCUUCCUCCCGAAAGUGGGCCGCUGGAAUUACCUAUUGGAGGCUUGCGUUAGAGCUGGAAUACCGUGGCGUUGGGGUUUUCUUUUUCUUUUCCUUUUUGUUCCUUCCUUUUUUUUCUUCUUUUUUUUGGGGGGGGAAGCUUGUGUGUGUGUUUUUACCUUUUAUUAUUUAAAUUGAUACGUUUCAUUACUAGGGAGAAAAAUAAAAUAUUCCUUUGAUACACAAAAUCAAAUUGAUAUUUAGCCUCUGCUUACUUUUUUAUGCAUGGCUCCUUUAUACCACAUGGUAGUGACAGAUUGUUUGAGCUGGAAGGAAAAGCCAUUCAAAGCUAAUUAAGCAGCCAUUCCAAGCACUAUUUGCAAGCGGGAGGCUCAGAAGCCUCGGCAUUUGUCAGCGCUCCCCCACCCCGCGUGGUUUUGACUGACAGCUCUGGCCACCGACUGACAGCGCCUAGCCGCUCCACCAAUCAGAAACGGAGAACCCCUCUAGCUGUCUGUGAUUGUAUCUAAUUGGGCUGCUUUGCAGACCUAAUGAGAUUAGAGGGAGGAAUCGUUUGCCGCCACUGCAGAAUAAACUGAUACAUUACUACCAGCCACAGGUUUGGAGGAUUGUAAGCUUGUUUUUUUUUUUUCUUCUUCUUUUGUUGUUAUUCCUCUAUUUUCUCUUUCCCCCUCCUGCCAAAUAAUUAUUUGCAAGUAGAUCGUGGGAAAAAAAAGCGGAGAAAAAAUCCUAGCAUCCUAGGACUAUAAUACAUAUCUAUUUAUUAUAUGUCUUUCGGUUAAUUCCAGAUCUGAGGAGCGCUGUUUUUCACUCCUAUGCGAAAGUCACCAGCGGGUAGGGCCUGAUUGCUACUUUUCAUGCAUAGUUUUAGACACAAGAGGGCAUUGUGACGUCGCUCCCGGCAGCGCCCAAUUGCAGGGCCAGUUCCGCGGCCCCACGUGGGGGUCCCGCGCUUCCAUUGGCCAGCGCCGAGCGAAGCUGCCACAUUAUUUUGUUACUUUUCAGUCCCUAUUUGGAACUGCUCUCGCGGCAGUUCAGACCUCGUGCUCUUCCUCUUCGCCUGUGUGUGGUAUCCGCAGCGCUCUCCUGCCGGCGCGCUCCGAUCGCUCCUCGCCCGGGACGCAGCGCUCGAGUUGGAAGCACCGAGGACCCUUGGCUGAGGCUUCCCGUGCCCACUGGAGUUAGGAUGUUGCCUUGUGCCUACUGAGCCCAGAGUUCCUCUUGGCCCCGGGAAAGGCUUGAAGCGGCGGCGGCAGCGGCAGUAGCGGCAGUAGCAGACGGAACAACAGGAUCCUCUUCGAGGGGGGCGUCGAAGCGCCCGCGCCGGGCUCUAGCUCUCACCCUCCGGCGGUUUUGCGGCGCCGAGCCGUCGCCUGUGUGCCAACCUCCUUCCUUUCCUCGCCGUGAGCCCCGGCCCGGCUGCCUCUAGGAUCUGACUUGCCAGCCCCGAAUGCUUGGGGCUACCCCCGCGCGCCCCCUUCGAGGCUCCCCGCACUGAGUGAUCCACAGGGGGCCCUCGCACCCCUCUGGAGGGACCCCCGGCCUCGGGACCCUGCGCCGGACCCAACGAUGUCCGCGCAGCCCCCGGCUCUGACGCUCUGC